rnacentral:lncRNA from 1 species
CUGGGCUGUGCCCUGAUGGUGUACAUUGUCUUCUCCUGACCAGGGAGGGGUGGCAGUGCCACACAGCGCCCUGCGGUCAGAAGAACCUACAGUGAUGCUGGAUGAGAAGAACACAGAAGUUCAGUUUAGAUUUCUAAUUACUAAAAUACGUAUAAAAU